rnacentral:rRNA from 1 species
AGUGAACGCUGGCGGUAGGCCUAACACAUGCAAGUCGAACGGCAGCACAGGAGAGCUUGCUCUCUGGGUGGCGAGUGGCGGACGGGUGAGGAAUACAUCGGAAUCUACUCUGUCGUGGGGGAUAACGUAGGGAAACUUACGCUAAUACCGCAUACGACCUACGGGUGAAAGCAGGGGACCUUCGGGCCUUGCGCGAUUGAAUGAGCCGAUGUCGGAUUAGCUAGUUGGCGGGGUAAAGGCCCACCAAGGCGACGAUCCGUAGCUGGUCUGGGAGGAUGAUCAGACACACUGGAACUGAGACACGGUCCAGACUCCUACGGGAGGCAGCAGUGGGGAAUAUUGGACAAUGGGCGCAAGCCUGAUCCAGCCAUACCGCGUGGGUGAAGAAGGCCUUCGGGUUGUAAAGCCCUUUUGUUGGGAAAGAAAUCCAGCUGGCUAAUACCCGGUUGGGAUGACGGUACCCAAAGAAUAAGCACCGGCUAACUUCGUGCCAGCAGCCGCAGUAA